rnacentral:pre_miRNA from 1 species
AGGAGGAACAACCCCAGUGGCAGCGGCCAGCUCUGGAGCCCUGGAUUCAGCUCCCGCAGGAACUCCGGAGCUCUCCGUCUGCAGGGCCUGGAGGCUCCGGGGAGGG